UACGUAGGGUGCGAGCGUUGUCCGGAAUUAUUGGGCGUAAAGAGCUCGUAGGCGGUGUGUCGCGUCGGCCGGGAAAACCUGGGGCUUAACUCUGGGCGUGCGGUCGAUACGGGCAUCACUGGAGUUCGGCAGGGGAGACUGGAAUUCCUGGUGUAGCGGUGAAAUGCGCAGAUAUCAGGAGGAACACCGGUGGUGUAAACGGCUCUCUGGACCGUAACUGACGCUGAGGCACGAAAGCGUGGGUAGCAAACAGG
rnacentral:rRNA from 1 species